rnacentral:SRP_RNA from 1 species
AGCUUGUUAUUUUUUAAUACUAGAUUCUAAAUCGUGCCAGAACUGAAAAGAAGCAGCAUUAAAGAUAUUUUAGUAUAGUAAAAAAUAACAAGCUCUU